rnacentral:tRNA from 1 species
UUCUGGUUAGCUCAGUUGGUAGAGCGCUCCACUGGAUAUGGAGAGUUCCCUGGUUCCAUACCAGGACCAGGCG